CCUCCAAUUUCAAACAGUAACACCUGAACUACUGUCUAAUGAAGAUGAAAAAUCAGAUAAGGAUCGCAAAAAUGAGGGGCAAACAAGAAAUAUAAUAUUGGAAUUGUCGAAUCACAAAUUUCUUGAACGUUACAAACCAGCCAAUGCCGCCUAGAAACUGUGAUCGUACAAAUGAAUCCCAAAUAUCUCUAGAGUUCCUUUGAGGCAAACAUACUUUUGGACCGAAACAUAAGUUUGCAAUGGAAAUCCAAG
rnacentral:lncRNA from 1 species